AGAAAGAGCGCUGGACCUGCUAACUCCAUACCACCAUAAUUAACACUAUGGCUUUCUU
rnacentral:tRNA from 1 species